GCGGGUGUAGUUUAAUGGUAGAAUUCCAGCUUCCCAAGCUGACGGCGGGGGUUCGAUUCCCCUCACCCGCUCCA
rnacentral:tRNA from 5 species